UACGUAGGGUGCAAGCGUUGUCCGGAAUUAUUGGGCGUAAAGAGCUCGUAGGCGGUUUGUCGCGUCUGCUGUGAAAACCUCAGGCUCAACCUGGGGCUUGCAGUGGGUACGGGCAGACUAGAGUGCGGUAGGGGUGACUGGAAUUCCUGGUGUAGCGGUGGAAUGCGCAGAUAUCAGGAGGAACACCGAUGGCGAAGGCAGGUCACUGGGCCGCAACUGACGCU
rnacentral:rRNA from 1 species